UGGGGAAUAUUGCACAAUGGGGGGAAACCCUGAUGCAGCAACGCCGCGUGGGUGAAGAAGUAUUUCGGUAUGUAAAGCUCUAUCAGCAGGGAAGAAAAUGACGGUACCUGACUAAGAAGCACCGGCUAAAUACGUGCCAGCAGCCGCGGUAAUACGUAUGGUGCAAGCGUUAUCCGGAUUUACUGGGUGUAAAGGGAGCGCAGGCGGUUUGGCAAGUCUGAUGUGAAAUCCGGGGCUCAACCCCGGAACUGCAUUGGAAACUGUCAGACUAGAGUGUCGGAGAGGUAAGUGGAAUUCCUAGUGUAGCGGUGAAAUGCGUAGAUAUUAGGAGGAACACCAGUGGCGAAGGCGGCUUACUGGACGA
rnacentral:rRNA from 1 species